rnacentral:rRNA from 1 species
CCCAAUUGAUUGACGGUGCUUGCACCUGAUUGAUUUUGGUCGCCAACGAGUGGCGGACGGGUGAGUAACACGUAGGUAACCUGCCCAGAAGCGGGGGACAACAUUUGGAAACAGAUGCUAAUACCGCAUAACAACGUUGUUCGCAUGAACAACGCUUAAAAGAUGGCUUCUCGCUAUCACUUCUGGAUGGACCUGCGGUGCAUUAGCUUGUUGGUGGGGUAACGGCCUACCAAGGCGAUGAUGCAUAGCCGAGUUGAGAGACUGAUCGGCCACAAUGGGACUGAGACACGGCCCAUACUCCUACGGGAGGCAGCAGUAGGGAAUCUUCCACAAUGGGCGCAAGCCUGAUGGAGCAACACCGCGUGAGUGAAGAAGGGUUUCGGCUCGUAAAGCUCUGUUGUUAAAGAAGAACACGUAUGAGAGUAACUGUUCAUACGUUGACGGUAUUUAACCAGAAAGUCACGGCUAACUACGUGCCAGCAGCCGCGGUAAUACGUAGGUGGCAAGCGUUAUCCGGAUUUAUUGGGCGUAAAGAGAGUGCAGGCGGUUUUCUAAGUCUGAUGUGAAAGCCUUCGGCUUAACCGGAGAAGUGCAUCGGAAACUGGAUAACUUGAGUGCAGAAGAGGGUAGUGGAACUCCAUGUGUAGCGGUGGAAUGCGUAGAUAUAUGGAAGAACACCAGUGGCGAAGGCGGCUACCUGGUCUGCAACUGACGCUGAGACUCGAAAGCAUGGGUAGCGAACAGGAUUAGA